rnacentral:rRNA from 1 species
UGCGUAGGCGGACUAGUAAGUCAGUGGUGAAAUCCCGAGGCUCAACUUCGGAACUGCCAUUGAUACUACAGGUCUUGAAUACGGUUGAGGUAGGCGGAAUGUAGCAUGUAGCGGUGAAAUGCAUAGAUAUGCUACAGAACACCGAUCGCGAAGGCAGCUUACCAAGCCGAUAUUGACGCUCAGGCACGAAAGCGUGGGGAGCGAACAGGAUUAGAUACCCUGGUAGUCC